GUCUAGCUGGCUCAGUCAGUAGAGCAUGAGACUCUUGAUCUUGGGUUCAUGAGUUCAAGCCCCAUGCUAAGCA
rnacentral:tRNA from 1 species